rnacentral:rRNA from 1 species
UUAAAUUGAAGGGUUUGAUCAUGGCUCAGAUUGAACGCUGGCGGCAGGCCUAACACAUGCAAGUCGAACGGUAACAGGAAACAGCUUGCUGUUUCGCUGACGAGUGGCGGACGGGUGAGUAA